ACUGGAAACCAGCACGGGCGUUGAGGCAACUCUGCGCCCGUGCACGCAUGUUAGGGCUAAUAAAGACAAU
rfam:Serratia marcescens FGI94, complete genome.